ensembl:snRNA Gm24152 U1 spliceosomal RNA
AGAAAUACCUAGCAGCGAAGACACUGUGAUCACAGGUAAUUUUUCUAGGGCAAGGCUUACCUAUUGCACACUGAAUACUCUACCUCUGUGCUUUUCCCAAAGUGGAAAAGUUUCUGCAUAAAUUGUGGUAGCUGGGGACGGCAUACAUUUGUACUCCCCUU